rnacentral:lncRNA from 1 species
ACAUUUAAUCUGCUCUUGAAACCCUCCUCCGCACUGGUGCGAGAAAUCCAUAUCUCUCACCCAAAACAUCACUCAAAGCUGCAAAAUAUACCUGCCAAGGAAUACAUUCAUGAAUGUGAAACAUGACAGCAAAGCAUCUUUUUAUGUAUAAAUAUAUGUGGCUCUGAAAAAAAUGGACCAUCAGUACUGGGUGACCAUGAGCACCAGGAAGUCUGAUGGUCAUAUGUUUGCAGCCAGCCAAUUUACCUGGAGUAAGUGACUCACUGGGAGAAAGAAAUCAGGAAGAUGAGAAUGCCAAGAUCAGCAACAUCUACUUCUACACAGCCAAGAAGGAGAAAACUGGACUGUAGUUUUCUUCACAUCCUCUGCCAGCAAAGCAGGUAAAUGUGAGCUCUGGCGCCACCUACAGGUGAGCUGAGCAAACACAAAUGAACUGAGCGUCG